rnacentral:rRNA from 1 species
GACGAACGCUGGCGGCGUGCUUAACACAUGCAAGUCGAACGGUGAAGCCCAGCUUGCUGGGUGGAUCAGUGGCGAACGGGUGAGUAACACGUGAGCAACCUGCCCUCCACUUCGGGAUAAGCCUUGGAAACGGGGUCUAAUACCGGAUAUGAGCGCCUGCCGCAUGGUGGGUGUUGGAAAGUUUUUCGGUGGGGGAUGGGCUCGCGGCCUAUCAGCUUGUUGGUGGGGUAAUGGCCUACCAAGGCGUCGACGGGUAGCCGGCCUGAGAGGGCGACCGGCCACACGGGGACUGGGACACGGCCCAGACUCCUACGGGAGGCAGCAGUGGGGAGUAUUGCACAAUGGGCGAAAGCCUGAUGCAGCGACGCCACGUGGGGGAUGACGGCCUUCGGGUUGUAAACCUCUUUCAGCAGGGAAGAAGCGCAAGUGACGGUACCUGCAGAAGAAGCGCCGGCUAACUACGUGCCAGCAGCCGCGGUAA